rnacentral:rRNA from 1 species
UACGUAGGGGGCUAGCGUUGUCCGGAAUCAUUGGGCGUAAAGCGCGUGUAGGCGGUCCGGUAAGUCCGCUGUGAAAGUCGGGGGCUCAACCCUGGGAUGCCGGUCGAUACUGCCGGACUAGAGUUCGGAAGAGGCGAGUGGAAUUCCCGGUGUAGCGGUGAAAUGCGCAGAUAUCGGGAGGAACACCAGUAGCGAAGGCGGCUCGCUGGGCCACACCUGACGCUGAGACGCGAAAGCUAGGGGAGCGAACAGG